rnacentral:misc_RNA from 1 species
AAGUCGUAACAAGGUUUCCGUAGGUGAACCUGCGGAAGGAUCAUUCAUAAUGAGUGUUUAAUGGCACUCUAAAUCCAUUACCCACCUUGUGUGCAAUGUCGAGGGGGAGAAAGGAGGAACAGCAACUUAUGAGUUGUUGAAAGAACUUUAUCCCUUUUCAUAUACAUACCAAAACUUUCAAAUAUCAGUCUAACAUCUAUUUAGAGUAUAAAAAACUCGAAAAUACAACUUUCAACAACGGAUCUCUUGGCUCUC